rnacentral:rRNA from 1 species
UGGGGAAUCUUGGACAAUGGGGGCAACCCUGAUCCAGCAAUGCCGCGUGUGUGAAGAAGGCCUUCGGGUUGUAAAGCACUUUCAGUGGGGACAAACAAGACGGAGCUAACAUCUCCGUUUCUGAUGGUACCCAAAGAAGAAGCACCGGCUAACUACGUGCCAGCAGCCGCGGUAAUACGUAGGGUGCAGGCGUUAAUCGGAAUUACUGGGCGUAAAGCGUGCGCAGGCGGCUCCUUAAGUCAGAUGUGAAAGCCCCGGGCUUAACCUGGGAACUGCGUUUGAAACUGGGGAGCUAGAGUGUGGAAGAGGGGGGUGGAAUUCCAGGUGUAGCAGUGAAAUGCGUAGAGAUCUGGAGGAACACCGAUGGCGAAGGCAGCCCCCUGGGCUAACACUGACGCUCAUGCACGAAAGCGUGGGGAGCAAACAGGAUUAGAUACCCUGGUAGUCCACGCCGUAAACGAUGUGUGCUAGCCGUUGGGAAACCUAGUUUCUCGGUGGCGCAGCUAACGCGAUAAGCACACCGCCUGGGGAGUACGGUCGCAAGAUUA